rnacentral:sRNA from 1 species
UCAGGAUUGCAAGCAGUGCAAGGGCCUGGUCCCGGCCCUGGUCUCAGCCCUAUCCAGAUGUCCAAGGCAGGUGGACCACCCGCUGAGCGUCAGAAAUGGGUCCCUCGGUGGCUGCUUUUGUGACCGUGUGUUUCAGAAGAGGAAGCUGCGGCUGUGGGAGUGACUGACCCCGGGACCCUGGGUCGGGAGGGUCCCAUCUCAAGCAGAGCAGCUCCCUGGGACCCUCGGAAGCUGCAGUGCUGGGACUGGGCCGGAUGUAGACCCCUGGGUCCUCGCAGGACACCCCCAGCACCUCCCCCUUGUGCCCCCAAAAGCACUUCUUAGCCUGAGGCUUCCUGCCCUGUGCCUCCCGGCUCCUCAUCAGCAUCUCUGUCCAUCGGUCCGUCAGUCUGUCUAUCUGCCCCCUAGGAGCCAGGCCCUGCCCCAUGGUGGUGAAGGAGAGUGACUCCAUGCUGCCCCUGCAAGCCCCGGUCACAGGUGACAGCAGGGAAGAGGUCGCUGCCUGGUCGUGCCAAGAGCUGCCCUGGAGGAGCGGAGGCUAGGGCGAGAGCCUCACUCCCUUCCUCUCCCUUCUUCCUUCCUCCCCCUCCUCUCCGUGUGCCCUGCAGGUAUCCCUCUGGCUUCCCCAGCUCACCCCUGCUCCCUUCCCUGCUGGGGGCCAGCCAAGGCCUCACCUGGCUGCAGGGCCAAGCCUGCCAUCAACAGGGCAAGCAGCACAGCCUUCAUGGUCACUGGUGGGCAGUGGUGGAGAGGGCCUUGGGUGACUUUAUAUGGCCUCAACUGGGGAGAGGCUGGACUGCCCACAGUCAACACCAGCAGGUUUCCUGGAGCCAGUGAGGGCCCCGGGGCUGGGCAGGUCCGAGUCUCCUCCCUGAGCGACCUGCACCUCCCUCUCCCUUUGUCCUUCUUUCCACCUCUGGAGGACAGAGCUGCCCAGGGCCAUAUCUCAGCCACCCCAGGCUGAGGGCUAAAACGUCCUCAAGGCCCAGAUUAUGCCUCUCCCACCUCCCCCACCUCACAGUGCAAGGCCAGACAAGGGAGACCCUUUCUCCAGACUCCUCCAGGCCUCGGCCUCCCAGCCAAGGAUGAGG